UGGGGAAUUUUCCGCAAUGGGCGAAAGCCUGACGGAGCAAUACCGCGUGAGGGAGGAAGGUUCUUGGAUUGUAAACCUCUUUUCUAGGGGAAGAAGAAAGUGACGGUACCCUAGGAAUAAGCAUCGGCUAACUCCGUGCCAGCAGCCGCGGUAAUACGGAGGAUGCAAGCGUUAUCCGGAAUUAUUGGGCGUAAAGAGUCCGUAGGUGGGAGUUCAAGUCUGCUGUUAAAGAGUGUAGCUUAACUACAUAAAGGCGGUGGAAACUGAGCAACUAGAGUGAGGUAGGGGUAACGGGAAUUCCCAGUGUAGCGGUGAAAUGCGUAGAUAUUGGGAAGAACAUCGGUGGCGAAAGCGCGUUACUGGGCCUAAACUGACACUGAGGGACGAAAGCUAGGGUAGCGAAAG
rnacentral:rRNA from 1 species